CUGGAACAGAGGAGCUGCAUGUGCGCUUCCUUUGCUGCAAGCAUACUUUUAGAAUGUCAGCCAGUAUUACUGAGUGUUCAAAGGACUUCACAUAUAUCACGCCGGUAAUCCUUAUUGCAGCCUUCUAAAUCUGCAGGUACAGGCUCACAUGAUGGAGUGCUCCUGCUAGAAUGCUCCCCUCCACAUAGAAAACUAACAUGACAGGAGAAUCUUUCUAGCCUCGUCUUCUCCCCAGUAUGCUGGUUCUCCACGAAAAAAGUGGCUUUUCCCCCCAUACAAGGAAGAAUCCAGUCAUGGAUAAAGCGCUGGGCCAGAGAGGUGCUGCCGCCAUACAGGAUACUGGCUAGAUCGCCGCGAUGGC